rnacentral:rRNA from 1 species
UACGUAGGGGGCUAGCGUUGCCCGGAAUCACUGGGCGUAAAGGGAGCGUAGGCGGCCUGUUAAGUCGGCUGUGAAAAACCGGAGCUCAACUCCGGUCCUGCGGUCGAAACUGGCAGGCUUGAGGACGGUAGAGGGAGACGGAACAGCUGGUGUAGGGGUAAAAUCCUUAGAUAUCAGCUGGAACGCCGGUGGUGAAGACGGUCUCCUGGGCCGGACCUGACGCUGAGGCUCGAAAGCUAGGGGAGCGAACGGG